UCCUUUCCAAUUCCCUUCCAAAUUGCGGGGCCAAGGUUGGUAUCAAUGAUGAGUCGAUAUUUUAUUGAUUUCACUUAGUUUCUUGUGCUAGAAUUAAUCAGGGAAUUGUGCUUAAAUGUCCGGUAUUUUCCCGUUUUUGCUAAUUGUGCUUAUUUUGACCGGAAAUUCUAAUUUUAAUUAAUUUGAAUAUUCUGAGCUAAUUAUUUGCAUUAUUAUUUUCAGGGAAAAUUUUGGAAAUACAACUUGGGACAUCUGGAGGUAAAAAUAAACUUAAGUNAGAGAGAAGGUGUGGAUUUUGUAAUUGAGGGGUGUGGAUGGCAAUUAAAAUUUGAAGAAAUUGGAGAAUCACGGCCUUGCCCAUCUUUCUAUUUUUAUUGAAGCACACGACUCUAAGCUCUUAAGAAAUGGUGCAGCGUGAAGAGCUUCAUUCCAAAUAAAAUAAGCAACAGCAGCAUCUAGCAAAGGGCAGGCUUUGCAGCCUUCACACGGCCUNCACAUCCAACACAUGGUGCAAUGGCAGCAAUUAUGGGUUAUAUCCAGCAGCUGGCAGCAAGGAGUU
rnacentral:lncRNA from 1 species